rnacentral:rRNA from 1 species
UACGUAGGGGGCAAGCGUUGUCCGGAAUCAUUGGGCGUAAAGAGCGUGUAGGCGGCCAGGUAGGUCGGUUGUGAAAACUGGAGGCUCAACCUUCAGAGGUCGACCGAAACCAUCUGGCUAGAGUCCGGGAGAGGAGAGUGGAAUUCCUGGUGUAGCGGUGAAAUGCGCAGAUAUCAGGAAGAACACCCGUGGCUAAGGCGGCUCUCUAGUACGGUACUGACGCUGAGACGCGAAAGCGUGGGGAGCAAACAGG